rnacentral:rRNA from 1 species
AUUGAACGCUGGCGGCAGGCCUAACACAUGCAAGUCGAGCGGAUGAGUGGAGCUUGCUCCAUGAUUCAGCGGCGGACGGGUGAGUAAUGCCUAGGAAUCUGCCUGGUAGUGGGGGACAACGUUUCGAAAGGAACGCUUAUACCGCAUACGUCCUACGGGAGAAAGUGGGGGAUCUUCGGACCUCACGCUAUCAGAUGAGCCUAGGUCGGAUUAGCUAGUUGGUGAGGUAAAGGCUCACCAAGGCGACGAUCCGUAACUGGUCUGAGAGGAUGAUCAGUCACACUGGAACUGAGACACGGUCCAGACUCCUACGGGAGGCAGCAGUGGGGAAUAUUGGACAAUGGGCGAAAGCCUAAUCCAGCCAUGCCGCGUGUGCGAAGAAGGUCUUCGGAUUGUAAAGCACUUUAAGUUGGGAGGAAGGGCAGUAAGUUAAUACCUUGCUGUUUUGACGUUACCAACAGAAUAAGCACCGGCUAACUUCGUGCCAGCCGCCGCCGUAAGAC